GACGAACGCUGGCGGCGUGCUUAACACAUGCAAGUCGAACGGAAAGGCCCUGCUUUUGUGGGGUGCUCGAGUGGCGAACGGGUGAGUAACACGUGAGUAACCUGCCCUUGACUUUGGGAUAACUUCAGGAAACUGGGGCUAAUACCGUAUAGGAGCUCCUGCUGCAUGGUGGGGGUUGGAAAGUUUCGGCGGUUGGGGAUGGACUCGCGGCUGAUGAGCUUGUUGGUGGGGUAGUGGCUUACCAAGGCUUUGACGGGUCGCCGGCCUGAGAGGGUGACCGGCCACAUUGGGACUGAGAUACGGCCCAGACUCCAACGGGAGGCAGCAGUGGGGAAUAUUGCACAAUGGGCGGAAGCCUGAUGCAGCAACGCCGCGUGCGGGAUGACGGCCUUCGGGUUGUAAACCGCUUUCGCCUGUGACGAAGCGUUAGUGACGGUACUGGGUAAAGAAGCACCGGCUAACUACGUG
rnacentral:rRNA from 1 species